rnacentral:rRNA from 1 species
CAGAGACUGCGAGCGUUAUUCGGAUUCACUGGGCGUAAAGGGUGCGCAGGCGGCCGUGUGUGUGAGGCGUGAAAGCCCGGGGCUUAACCCCGGAAUUGCACCUCAAACUACACGGCUAGAGCAUUGGAGAGGGUAGCAGAAUUCAUGGUGUAGCAGUGAAAUGCGUAGAUAUCAUGAGGAAUACCAGAGGCGAAGGCGGCUACCUGGACAAUUGCUGACGCUCAGGCACGAAAGCGUGGGGAGCAAAAGGGAUUAGAUACCCCUGUAGUCCACGCCCUAAACGGUGCACACUAGGUCUUGGCGGAUUCGACCCCCCCAGGGCCCAAGCUAACGCGUUAAGUGUGCCGCCUGAGGACUACGGCCGCAAGGCUA